rnacentral:rRNA from 1 species
GAUGAACGCUAGCGGCAGACUUAAUACAUGCAAGUCGAGGGGCAGCAGGCUGUAGCAAUACAGUGCUGGCGACCGGCAAACGGGUGCGGAACACGUACACAACCUUCCUUUAAGCGGGGAAUAGCCCAGAGAAAUUUGGAUUAAUACCCCAUAGUAUAUUGGUUAGGCAUCUAACUAUUAUUAAAGAUUUAUCACUUAAAGAUGGGUGUGCGGCUGAUUAGGUAGUUGGCGGGGUAACGGCCCACCAAGCCUACGAUCAGUAACUGGUGUGAGAGCACGACCAGUCACACGGGCACUGAGACACGGGCCCGACUCCUACGGGAGGCAGCAGUAAGGAAUAUUGGUCAAUGGACGAAAGUCUGAACCAGCCAUGCCGCGUGGAGGAUGAAGGUCCUCUGGAUUGUAAACUUCUUUUAUAUGGGACGAAAAAAGGGUUUUCUAACUCGUCUGACGGUACCAUAUGAAUAAGCACCGGCUAACUCCGUGCCAGCCGCCGCGGUAACAC